rnacentral:tmRNA from 1 species
GGCUUGGGUUGGUUUUGACAGCAAGGUAAAUGGUCAAGUAAGCAUGCAGUUACAGGUAACAAAUAACUUUAAACUUGGUUACACAAAAAUUAAUUGGCGAAAAUACUUACGCUCUUGCUGCGUAAUCGAAGGUUUAGUAGAUUACUCUUUAUUCGGCACAAGGUGCUGAAGCAAGACGCUCCAAGAAAAGAUAUACAACCUUUUGUCUUUUCUGUUUUGGGGUGCAUCAGUUAAAAGGUUUAGUCAAAGGGAUGUCUUUAAACUUUGAUGAAUCUUUAAAGACUAAGAAAAGAGAGAAGUUGUUUGUUUAUUGCUCUUUUCCGACAAGUUGAAACAAAAUAAGCAUGUAGAAAUCUUGGGUGUUUCUUGUUUGGACCAGGGUUCGAAUCCCUGCAGGUCCACA